rnacentral:rRNA from 1 species
UACGGGGGGGGUAAGCGUUGUUCGGAAUCACUGGGCGUAAAGGGCGCGUAGGCGGCCUGAUAAGUAGGGGGUGAAAUCCUGCGGCUUAACCGCAGGGCUGCCUUCUAAACUGUCAGGCUCGAGCACAGUAGAGGCAGGUGGAAUUCCCGGUGUAGCGGUGGAAUGCGUAGAGAUCGGGAAGAACAUCAGUGGCGAAGGCGGCCUGCUGGGCUGUUGCUGACGCUGAGGCGCGACAGCGUGGGGAGCAAACAGG